AACGGACGCUGGCGGCAUGCCUAACACAUGCAAGUCGAACGAGAUCCUUCGGGGUCUAGUGGCGCACGGGUGCGUAACGCGUGGGAAUCUGCCCUUAGGUUCGGAAUAACAGUUAGAAAUGACUGCUAAUACCGGAUGAUGACGUUAAGUCCAAAGAUUUAUCGCCUGAGGAUGAGCCCGCGUAGGAUUAGCUAGUUGGUGUGGUAAAGGCGCACCAAGGCGACGAUCCUUAGCUGGUCUGAGAGGAUGAUCAGCCACACUGGGACUGAGACACGGCCCAGACUCCUACGGGAGGCAGCAGUGGGGAAUAUUGGACAAUGGGCGCAAGCCUGAUCCAGCAAUGCCGCGUGAGUGAUGAAGGCCUUAGGGUUGUAAAGCUCUUUUACCCGGGAUGAUAAUGACAGUACCGGGAGAAUAAGCCCCGGCUAACUCCGUG
rnacentral:rRNA from 1 species